AAGUCGUAACAAGGUUUCCGUAGGUGAACCUGCGGAAGGAUCAUUAAAGAUUCGGGUUUCGGCCCACCCUCUUCAGCUGUGCGCUUCGGCUGCACGCUGUUGAAUCCUUCACACCUGUGCACCCUUUCGGUUGCGGCGCUUCACCGCGUCGCUUCCGCUUUACAUAUAACAACAGUCCAGAAUGUCAAAAUUAUAAACAUAACAACUUUCAACAACGGAUCUCUUGGCUCUC
rnacentral:misc_RNA from 1 species